AUUGAACGCUGGCGGCAUGCUUUACACAUGCAAGUCGAACGGCAGCGCGGGCUUCGGCCUGGCGGCGAGUGGCGAACGGGUGAGUAAUACAUCGGAACGUGCCCAGUAGUGGGGGAUAGCUCGGCGAAAGCCGGAUUAAUACCGCAUACGACCUGAGGGUGAAAGCGGGGGAUCUUCGGACCUCGCGCUUUUGGAGCGGCCGAUGGCAGAUUAGCUAGUUGGUGGGGUAAAGGCCUACCAAGGCGACGAUCUGUAGCUGGUCUGAGAGGACGACCAGCCACACUGGGACUGAGACACGGCCCAGACUCCUACGGGAGGCAGCAGUGGGGAAUUUUGGACAAAGGGCGAAAGCCUGAUCCAGCAAUGCCGCGUGUGUGAUGAAGGCCUUCGGGUUGUAAAGCACUUUUGGCGGGAACGAAAAGGACUGUGCCAAUACCACGGUUCGAUGACGGUACCCGCAGAAUAAGCACCGGCUAACUACGUG
rnacentral:rRNA from 1 species